rnacentral:rRNA from 1 species
GAUGAACGCUGGCGGCGUGCCUAAUACAUGCAAGUCGAGCGAAUGGAUCAAGAGCUUGCUCUUAUGAAGUUAGCGGCGGACGGGUGAGUAACACGUGGGUAACCUGCCCAUAAGACUGGGAUAACUCCGGGAAAACGGGGCAAAUACCCGCAAACAUUUUGAACCGCAUGGUUCGAAAUCGAAAGGACACUUGGGCUGUGACUUAUGGAUAGACCCGCGUCGCAUUAGCUAGUUGGUGAGGUAAAGGCUAACCAAGGCAACGACGCGUAGCCGACCUGAGAGGGUGAUCGGCCACACUGGGACUGAGACACGGCCCAGACUCCUACGGGAGGCAGCAGUAGGGAAUCUUCCGCAAUGGACGAAAGUCUGACGGAGCAACGCCGCGUGAGUGAUGAAGGCUUUCGGGUCGUAAAACUCUGUUGUUAGGGAAGAACAAGUGCUAGUUGAAUAAGCUGGCACCUUGACGGUACCUAACCAGAAAGCCACGGCUAACUACGUGCCAGCCGCCGCGGUAA